AGUCUUGUCUCCUCCCUUCUCCCCCUUUGCAGAGCCCGCUCAGCCCGCCCAGGAGGAUCGUCUGUUCGUCACCACCCGUGCCAGCCUCCAUCUUCACCUGCCACCGGGCCCGGCCUUGGGGCUGUGAUGAAAGGCUAAAAGGCAGAAAGACAGCGCAACAGAAAAUGGCCCAUCUGUUGGAAUGAGGAGGCCAAAGAUACCACCGGCAGCGAGGACGACUGCAUUAACCUAUAAUAACGUCUAUCAUUCUGAUGAGAAGAUGUCUACUCAAACCACACGGAAUAUGUCACAAAUAAAUAGUCCAAUGCAAAUGUGAA